AGAUUAAAAGCAUAGCAAUUCAUUGUUACUGAAUAGAAGAUAAAAAGUUUUAAAUUG
rnacentral:tRNA from 1 species